UCCAGCAGCUGGCAGCUCCAUCACCUUGCCCAAGGGUGAACAACGCUUUAAACCGCGCUCGCUGGCCUUCAAAACCCAACCAAAGGACUGGAGUAGAACACUAUCUCCGGUACAACACCGGUCCACAGGUCAGCAGAGAAGGCGGAGCUGGCCCUGAUGGCACACCACUCCAAAACAGGUCUAGGUCAAGAACUUUGACCUUUGCUUCAACUUCCACAUCUAUUCCGAGGAACCUGUGGUUGAGAAGUUGGAGCCAGAAUUGGUGGAAAAUUGGCGUGAGUUCCCAAACAUCUUUGACUUUUUUGUGCUAAUUGGUCCACCAGUUUUUCCGAGACCUUCUAUUAUAGUAAAGAAAUGAAAUGAUUGUAGCCUUUCAAGGGGGUGUAAGUCGGAUGAAGGAGACCCGAGGGCCCAGACUGCAGUCGCAUCGGAUGCAUAUCGGUUUUAUGACCACAAACUGUCAUGAAAAAUCCGAUACAUGUCACAUAUGGGGGGAGAAAUGGUAACUGACCUAUAGUGAUAACAUAGCCUUAAUCUCAAAAACCUGCAAACGAUGAUGGCGGCGCCAUCAUGUGUCAGGCGAGAUGGCUCCUUAUCAGCAGAACGUCUUUUGCGUGUCCUUGGUGGCGACGGAGGAAAGGGAGACGGGGAGGGGCUGCAUGGGCUCUUUUGGAAGCGCUUGAUUUGUA